AACAACCCAAUUCUGAACUAUUUUAACAAGUAAUCAGGAAUGAAAAAUGGGAAAGUGAGAUCAGAAAUAGCAAUGACAUCCAUUACAAUAAUUCUAUACAGAAAUUUAACUGCUAUAACUCUAUUGACACAACUGUAUUGGCCUUCAGAAAGGAGCUUGACAGUUACCAAGCAGAGAAGGAUGGCAGCCAAAUGUAACACCGGUUUAGAAUGUAAACUUAUUCAUAAAGUUAUAUGAAGAAGGAUGAUGGAUGAUCAUAAGUAGUAUCAUCUUUUAAAGCAGAGAGAAGCAGUGGAGGGUACCGUUUAAAGAAAACUUAGCAAGAUUACUGCUAAGCAAAGUCAUCCCAGAAGCAAUUAAAGACAAAAAUGGAAGGACCACAAAUAAGAAAAAUGGGAAAGAUCUGUCAAGACUAGUAUUACCAACUAUUCUUGCCAUUAAGGAGAGUGGGACCCUACACUCAGACCCUAACAUCACAGUACCAGGUGUUCUUAUAGAAGAGGUAGAAAUGGUGCUAAAGAGACACAAGAUGGGAAAUGGAAGAGUUUAUAGAGGAGGUCUAUGCUGAAGGAGUCAUGAUCACAAGCGGGCUAAGGAAUGCAAGUGUUGUCGUGUGGCAGUGAGACUCGGAAUACAACAAUCUCUAAAGAAUUAAUAACAUGUAAUGGAGAAUGCAUGGAGGGUGGGCUGUGUGAGCAAGCUGCAGCAUAUAACCAAUGGGUACCUUCAAAGAAGAAAAAGAUACCAUCAAGGAAAUGGAUGCUGAGAAGAUGGGCUGGUUAUCUGGCAAAGGUGUCCAUGAGCCUGUCAAAGUGAAGGAAAGCAGAAUCUGAUGGCGGUGGUGGUGAGGAGGAAAACCAGAUUUCCAUGAUCUGUUUCAGUCCUGGAAGGAUGAAU